rnacentral:misc_RNA from 1 species
AAGUCGUAACAAGGUUUCCGUAGGUGAACCUGCGGAAGGAUCAUUAACCAGUGCGCCCGGGGCGCAUUACCUGAUUAAGUUCAUUGUGGUUAAUGCCAUCUUUAUCACUCGGGAGGCUUUUCCAACCUUCCGGGGAAGGUUGUUGUGGAGCUUUUCGAGGGGUUUAGUUCGGUAAGAUUCGAGAUCCGUAUGGGGAUAGUACCAUGCCUGUAAAAUAAAUAUAUUUCCACCAAAUGUGCAAAAGUUCAGCGAAUCCUUUGGUAGGCCUCGGGAAGCAUUCUCGUCCUCCAUCCAACCCUACGGAAAGAACUCCGGAAGAAGCGUUGGAGGAGUGCCGCCAGGAUCAUCAUCAUUAAUGAACCUUUCCUAAAUCAAGGACUGAAAUUUCCAUAUGAUACGAAAUAAAAUAUAACUUUCAGCAACGGAUCUCUUGGUUCUC